UACGAAGGGGGCGAGCGUUGUUCGGAAUCACUGGGCGUAAAGGGCGCGUAGGCGGCCCUCUUAGUCGCGUGUGAAAGCCCCGGGCUCAACCUGGGAACGGCGCGCGAAACGGGAGGGCUGGAGUUCGGGAGAGGAGAGUGGAAUUCCCAGUGUAGAGGUGAAAUGCGUAGAGAUGUGGAGGAACACCGAUGGCGAAGGCAGCCCCCUGGGCUAACACUGACGCUCAUGCACGAAAGCGUGGGGAGCAAACAGG
rnacentral:rRNA from 1 species